rnacentral:rRNA from 1 species
UACGAAGGGGGCUAGCGUUGCUCGGAAUGACUGGGCGUAAAGGGCGCGUAGGCGGCUUGUAUAGUCGGAUGUGAAAUUCCUGGGCUUAACCUGGGGGCUGCAUACGAGACGUAUGGGCUUGAGUGCGGAAGAGGGUCGUGGAAUUCCCAGUGUAGAGGUGAAAUUCGUAGAUAUUGGGAAGAACACCGGUGGCGAAGGCGGCGACCUGGUCCGUGACUGACGCUGAGGCGCGAAAGCUAGGGGAGCAAACGGG